CCUUGUGAAUUUUGUCCUCCAACCCUUGUCUGGUGAUUUUUCCCCUUUAAAUACCCCUGACUUCAGUUGCACGGGAUCCUCAGUCCUCUACCCCUGCAUGGUGUACGACUAUGGAACCCAGAAUUCUGGAAUAAAGAAAUCCUCAUGCUAUUGCAUCGAUACAUUUUCUCGCAAGUGAUUUGGGUGUUGCCUUCUGAGGCGUGGAGUGCUGGGAUACCCCUUUUUUGGGGUUUUACAUUUUUUGGUGGGGAAGUGUGAUUUCCCUUCACAUGCCAGAACCAACUCGGAGGUCACAUGACUCAAGCACGCAUCAAGCACAUCAAAUUAGAACAAAAGGAGAGACAAAAUACUUGGGCUCUGACGCUCCCUGAAAAGGAAAACAAGUCUUAACAAGAUGCUCAAUGUGGCAGGUGCUGCUAUGGUGGACAGAAAUGUCAUCUGGGUAGAAGGAUCUUUACCCCCUGUCAUGUCAAUGCAGAAAGUGGAGCUCAUUGCCCUCACCAAGACCUUGGAACUUGGAAUCAGCAAGAAAAUCAACAGCCACAUGGAUAACAAGCUUUUGUUCUGUAGGCUCAAGGCCCUUGAGUGAGUGAGUCAGCAAGUGUGGAAGCAGCUCCUGCAGUCCUACUCAAGAAAAGUCCCACAUCCCUUCCGAUUUGGAGAAUUGGUCAACGUGAGAUGCCACUGCAAGACAAUCUUGAGUCUCAGUGCAAAGGCCUUUAUCUUGUACUCUUGACCACCCUGCUUUCUGCUUUGAUGAGACCCCUUGUAAUUUUACUCCUUUUGCUUACAAUUGGAACCUGUGUGAUUAACCGGUUAAUAGCUUUUAUUAGGGAAACAUAUAAGUGCUGUGCAGAUUCUUAUGAUACACCAACAAUAUCAGAGAUUAGGGCAGGACAAUCCAAAAUAUAUAGAGUCAGAAAUUUAGUUCUAUAGUUCUAAGAUUAGAACUAUUAACAAGAGGAGUGGGGAAUGAGAAAGUCCAAACUCAAUGCUUUUAGACCUCUAAGCAUCUAGCCCAUCACAGAGUAACUUGUUUUUCUGCUUUCAGCUUGAGAAAGAUAGCCCACCCUGUUCUAGUUCCAAUUUUUAACUCUACAAUUCUCCAAGGACCUUUGCUCCAGAUAAUCUCUAACCUUCCUUACUUCCUCAUUCUGUACUUCCCCAUUCUGAGCAUGUUUUGUCCUCAACCCCUUGCUUUGUGAAUUGUGUCCUCCAACCCUUGUCUGGUGAUUUUUCCCCUUUAAAUAAACCUGACUUCAGUUGCACGGGGUCCUCAGUCCUCUAUCCCUGCGUGGUGUACGACUGUGGAACCCAGAAUUCUGGAAUAAAGAAAUCCUCAUGCUAUUGCAUUGA